UACGUAGGGACCAAGCGUUGUCCGGAAUCACUGGGCUUAAAGCGUGUGUAGGCGGACUUCUAAGUACCUUGUGAAAUCCCACGGCUUAACCGUGGAACUGCUUGGUAUACUGGUUGUCUUGGGCCAUCUAGGGGCUAGCGGAACAAACGGUGGAGCGGUGAAAUGCGUAGAUAUCGUUUGGAACGCCAAUGGUGAAAAACAGCUAGCUGGGGAUGUGCCGACGG
rnacentral:rRNA from 1 species